CGAAGGGUGCAAGCGUUACUCGGAAUUACUGGGCGUAAAGCGUGCGUAGGUGGUUCGUUAAGUCUGUCGCGAAAUCCCCGGGCUCAACCUGGGAAUGGCGAUGGAUACUGGCGAGCUAGAGUGAGGUAGAGGAGAGUGGAAUUCCCGGUGUAGCAGUGAAAUGCGUAGAGAUCGGGAGGAACAUCAGUUGCGAAGGCGGCUCUCUGGACCAUCACUGACACUGAGGCACGAAAGCGUGGGGAGCAAACAGGAUUAGAUACCCUGGUAGUCCACGCCCUAAACGAUGCGAACUGGACGUUGGGCUCAAUUAGGAGCUCAGUGUCGAAGCUAACGCGUUAAGUUCGCCGCCUGGGGAGUACGGUCGCAAGACUG
rnacentral:rRNA from 1 species